ACAUCUGACCUUGGAAGUCAAACCGGACAGCCAUAAUAAACAAACCAGUGCUUGAGCAGGGCCUUUGCCGUUGUAUUCGCUGUC